rnacentral:tRNA from 1 species
GGGGCUGUAGCUCAGCUGGGAGAGCGCUUGAAUGGCAUUCAAGAGGUCGGGGGUUCGACUCCCCUCAGCUCCA